CACAGUGGUGGCUCAGUGGUUAAGGCUGCGGACUACCAAACAGAAGGUCAUAAGUUCAAGCCCUAGCACUGUCA